GAUGAUGAAUGAUUAACAGCCCCGUCCCGCCACCCCGCACCUGUGACGUCACCGGGGAGGGGCGCCGGGCGGCCAAUGGGCCGAGGCGGCGGCCCCGCCCCCCCCCGGCUCCCGGAUGUGUAAACAAACACCCCGAGAAGCGUGGCGGGGGGGGGGAGGGGGGGGUCGGUACGCGGGCCUGCGGGAUCCGCUCCGCUGAAUGAGCUGCCUGCCGGGCACCGGCAAGGAACAACGGGGGGGAAAAAAAGAAACAAAAUAAAAAAACGGGGGGGGGGGGGGAAGGCAAACAUCUUCCUUAUCUGCUCGGGGGUGUUCGCACCGCUGCUCGGAACCACGCACAAGCGUUCAGGGAAAUAAAAUGCGUAAGAAAUUAGCCUUUCCGUCAUUCUUGCUGGGCUCAACAAAAAAAAGCAGUGACACAAAAUAAGCUUCAGAGCCUCUGACCGGCUGCACAAAGCCGGACAAAGCCUACGCGCGCACUCUUGCCAAGCUGUGGAGAGAAAAAGAUACUGGAUCCAUGGAGUUCUGACUGUCUUCAAAAGCAGAGGCAGCUGAAGGGACUGCGAGCAGCUACUUGCCUAGUUUGGUCAGACCUCUUCCACUUUUUUCCGCCACCCUCUCAACUGGAUAGGAAACAGACAGUCCUUUGCUAGAGCUGAUAGGCUCCAAGGACAAAAACGCCACCACAGCAGCAGUUUCCUAUCAGCUUCCAACUGUAAAUAAUCUUGCGUUCUCUACUUGCUAUACAAAUUGUUAGAGAUAUUUACAUAAAAAUGUAUUAUUGCUCCACUGACAAUCAGUUUGACGUAAAUGUUGAUUUGCUGUCAUCUAGCAAAUUAUGUUGCAAAGUUACUGCCUAGAAAGGAUUGCUGUCAAUGCUAUAGUUGUCUGGAACUUGUUACUAAGACCAGACUGCUGUGGAAGCUAGUCACCGAAAGGUUUUUUGUAAAAGGCACAGACGCUGGCUUUAUAAUCACUAAGUGCAAUGUAUAGGUCCUUCAGGAAAGCGCAGUUAAGAUUUACAGCUAAGGUAAUGUCACACAUUUACAGAGCAGCACCACAAAUAACUUGACCAUGUGUUUACAGUAAUUUUAUUUACAAGUUACCACAUGACACCUGUAGUACUACAGUUUUUAUAACACCAUUAGCAGUAAAGUAAGUCACAUCUAAGAAGAGUAGGAGGCAGCAGAGAAAAAUGUGCACAGAG